AGAUAAACUACAUAUUUUCCUUGGAAUUUGAUAUUUAUAAGAUUAUUUGUAAUUAUUAAUACAUAUAUAGGAAGGCUUUCGGCUGCAACAUUUAAGCGAUUGAUUUGUAUAGCUGUGUCACAGACCUUAUAAAGGGACAAGCAGCAAAAGCAGUAAUUUCGGUUUUAAUAGUCCGAUAUAAGCCUUCAGCAAAAAUCCUUUAACUCUACAACCAACUAUGUAUGUUUACUACCAAUUAUGCCGCCAAAUAUUACUAACCCCAGCUGUGAAACUGUUUAAUAUUCACUAUAUGGUUAGUUGUUUUGUUGCAGGUAUAGAUAAACUAAGCAGUGGAAUGAAUGUUUAGUGAUUUAAAAAAAGCUAUAUUUAAUGGUGCAGUACACAUCAAACAUGGAAAAUUUAAAAUUUCAGAUAGUACUAGCUUAAAACAAAAGAAGUACUUUUUUAGGUUUUAAAGUACUAAACUAAAUUUCUACUAGA